UAUAGGAGACAGCAGUCGCCGCGGGAAAACCAGCAGCCCAAGUGGUGGUCGCGAUUAUUGGGCCUAAAGCGCUCGUAGCCGGGCCGGUAAGUCCCUUGUGAAAUCGGACGGCCUAACCGUUCGGCGUGCAAGGGAUACUGUCGGUCUUGAGGCCGGGAGACGUCCGAGGUACUCCGGGGGUAGCGGUGAAAUGUUCUGAUCCUCGGGGGACCACCGGUGGCGAAGGCGUUCGACGAGAACGGGCCUGACGGUGAGGGGCGAAGGCUAGGGGAGCAAACGGGAUUAGAUACCCCAGUAGUCCCUGUCUCUUAUU
rnacentral:rRNA from 1 species